rnacentral:rRNA from 1 species
AUGCCUAAUGGGAGCCUAGAUAGGUGGUUACACAUGGAUGUACAUGUAUCACAUCAACUCCAAGGUUUGACAUUGCUGCAGAGAUUAAAUAUUGCAGUUGAUAUUGCUGAUGCGCUAGAUUAUUUGCAUAACAACUGUGAACCACCAAUAAUUCAUUGUGACUUGAAGCCAAGCAACAUCCUUCUCAAUGAGGAUUUAGUUGCUCAUGUUGGGGAUUUCGGCCUUGCAAAGAUCCUCUCUGAACCAUCAACUGAGCAACUGAUCAAUUCAAAGAGCUCAGUCGGAAUAAGAGGAACAAUUGGAUAUGUCGCUCCAGAAUAUGGCGAAGGUGGGCAAGUUUCUUCAUGUGGAGAUGUGUAUAGCUUCGGAAUUGUCAUCCUCGAGUUGUUUAUAGGAAUGGCACCUACUCAUGACAUGUUCAGAGACGGGUUGACCCUGCAGAGACAUGCCAAGAAUGCAUUUCCAGGGAUGCUAAUGCAGAUUGUUGAACCAGUUCUACUGUCCACUGAAGAAGCCUAUGCUAGUAGUUUGCAGGAUGGAAGUAACAUAAUGGAACAUGGCAGCAAUAAUGCCAUAUUCUCUGUCAUGAAGAUUGCACUAUCAUGCAGCAGGCAUGCACCGACAGAGAGAAUGUGCAUGAAAGAUGCUGCUACUGUGAUUCACAGGAUAAGGGAUGGCUAUGUUAAAAUAAGACAAAAUGAAGAAGUUGCUACAGCUGCAUAUAAUGCAAGGCAUUUUGCUGAAACAUCGAGGCCAGCCCCCUAA